rnacentral:miRNA from 1 species
UGUCCGCUUCGCCUUAGAGAAGAGUUUCCUAGCGGUGAGUUCCUCCCACUGGUGACCAGGAAGGUUAUCAGGUGGAAGAACUCGGCUCAACAACCCUCUCUGCCUGUAGA